UACGGGAGGCAGCAGUGGGGAAUAUUGGACAAUGGGCGAAAGCCUGAUCCAGCCAUGCCGCGUGUGUGAAAGAAGGUCUUCGGAUUGUAAAGCACUUUAAGUUGGGAGGAAGGGCAGUAAGUUAAUACCUUGCUGUUUUGACGUUACCAACAGAAUAAGCACCGGCUAACUUCGUGCCAGCAGCCGCGGUAAU
rnacentral:rRNA from 1 species